rnacentral:rRNA from 1 species
AGUGAACGCUGGCGGUAGGCCUAACACAAGCAAGUCGAACGGCAGCACAGUAAGAGCUUGCUCUUACGGGUGGCGAGUGGCGGACGGGUGAGGAAUACAUCGGAAUCUACUUUUUCGGGGGGGAUAACGUAGGGAAACUUACGCUAAUACCGCAUAUGACCUACGGGUGAAAGCAGGGGAUCUUCGGACCUUGCGCGAUUGAAUGAGCCGAUGUCGGAUUAGCUAGUUGGCGGGGUAAAGGCCCACCAAGGCGACGAUGCGUAGCUGGUCUGAGAGGAUGAUCAGCCACACUGGAACUGAGACACGGUCCAGACUCCUACGGGAGGCAGCAGUGGGGAAUAUUGGACAAUGGGCGCAAGCCUGAUCCAGCCAUACCGCGUGGGUGAAGAAGGCCUUCGGGUUGUAAAGCCCUUUUGUUGGGAAAGAAAAGCAGCAGGUUAAUACCCCGCUGUUCUGACGGUACCCAAAGAAUAAGCACCGGCUAACUUCGUG